GUGUGUGUGUGUAUGUGUUUCAUCUUGAUCAGUAUUUAUCAAUUUUGCUCCAAAUAUUUAUCAAUUUUAUUGAUAUUUUUAAUAGAUCAGCACUGUUUUUUUUUUUAAAUUUCAUUGACUCCCUUUUUUUCAAAUUUCCUUCUUCUCACCUUCUUGAUUUAAUUUAGCUUUGCAUGGUGGAAACCUAUAUCCUUAUUUUACAUCUUUCUUUUUGGAUUUUUCUGCCUGAAAUGUUAUUCAGAAAUUUAUCUCUUAAUUUCAGAAUAUUUGGAGAAUUUAGCAGAUAUGUUUUUAUCGACUGUAGCUUAAUUCUAGUCCUGUGCUUUCCAUCAGUUACUGAGAAGGGUGUUGGAAUCUCCUCCACACUGUGUCUUAGCCUAAUUUUCUUCUCAGCUGUAUCAGCUUCUGAUUCAUGUGUCUGAGGUGUGUGGAAAAUGAGAGGGGUACAUAUGUCACAGUGCAUCUCGCUGAUGACAUCCUCAAGGUUUACAGCGUUUUCUUUAACCCUGGUAAAUUGUUUGCCCUGCGCCUACUGUGUAUGGUAAAGUUCUCCGCCUUUCUUAGUAUGUUCAUGCCAUAUCCUUUUGUAGCUCUUCUUUUGUUUAUUUGUGUCUUUAUAUUUAAAGCACAUUUCUUUAAGUAUUAUUUUCUUGUUCUCUUAUGCAUACUGACAUCUCUGUCUUUUAAGAAUGGUGUUUAGAUAAUUUCUGUUUCUUAUAAAUAUGUCUAAUUAAACUUACCAGUUUUCUAAUUUUUUAUUUGCUGUUUCUUCUCCAUUAUUUUCCUUUUUCCAGCUCUCCUUUUGGCUACAUGUUCUUCAGGAUGGCUAUGGGACGUUCCAUGCCUGGGCCACAGCCCGAGCCAUCGGAGUUGAACGCCGGUUCCCAAGCGUGGGAGGUGAGGCGCGGUCCUCCUGUGGCUGCUGCCAGACUGCCGCUCGGAUGAAACCCAGGGUGUCACUCUCCACCGCUGAGCUGCACCCCAACCCUGAAGUUUCCUCCUUCUGCUUCAGGCUCCCCUCUCUACACACAGCACCUGCAGCGAGCUGGAGGCUGGGCUGCUCAUUUCCCUCUUAGCCGGCAUGCUGCUGGUUCGCUUUUUCUGUAUUCCUGUGUUGUAAUCCCGAGUACAUUGUUGUCUCUGCUUUAAACAGCC